GAGGUGGGAGGUUUACUUGAGUCAGGGAGGUUGAGGUGGCAUUGAGCCAAGAUCACACCACUGCACUCCAGCCUGAGUGACAGAGCAAGACCAUGUCUCA
rnacentral:miRNA from 1 species